GCCAACCUAUCUAUCGCUGCCAACCUAUCUAUCGCUGCCAAUUUAUCUACCACUGCCAAUCUAUCUAUUGCUGCUAAUCUAUCGCUGCUGCCAAUCUAUCUAUCGCUGCUAAUCUAUCGCCGCUGCCAAUCUAUCCCUCGCUGCUAAGCUAUCCUUCGCUGCUAAGCUAUCCCUCACUGCUAAGCUAUCUCUCACUGCUAAGCUAUCCCUCGCUGCUAAGCUAUCCCUCACUACUAAGCUAUCUAUCACUGCUAAUCUAUCGCUGCCAACCUAUCUAUCACUGCCAAUCUAUCUAUCGCUGCUAAUCUAUCGCUGCUAAUCUAUCACUGCUAAUCUAUCGCUGCCAACCUAUCUAUCGCUGCCAAUUUAUCUACCACUGCCAAUCUAUCUAUUGCUGCUAAUCUAUUGCUGCUGCCAAUCUAUCUAUCGCUGCUAAUCUAUUGCUGCUAAUCUAUCGCUGCUAAUCUAUCGCUGCUAAUCUAUCGCUGCUAAUCUAUCGCUGCUAAUCUAUCGCUGCCAACCUAUCUACCGCGGCGAAUCUAUCUAUCACUAUCAUUACUAGUUCAAAAUAGAACUAGAGCAUAAACACACUAAACUUCUUUUGAUAGGUAAUGAUUUUUGGUAACGCUCAUAGCAUUAUAUCAUCUAUAUAGGGUA
rnacentral:sRNA from 1 species